rnacentral:rRNA from 1 species
AUUGAACGCUGGCGGCAGGCCUAACACAUGCAAGUCGAGCGGAGCGGCGGACGGGUGAGUAAUGCCUAGGAAUCUGCCGGGUAGUGGGGGAUAACGUCAGGAAACGAGCGCUAAUCCCGCCUAACAUCAGCUGAGCUUAGGUCGGAUUCGCUAGUUGGUUGGGUAAAGGCCUACCAAGACGAAGAUCCGUGACUGGUCUGAGAGGAUGAUCAGUCACACUGGAACUGAGACACGGUCGAGACUCCUACGGGGGGCAGCAGUGGGGAAUAUUGGACAAUGGGCGAAAGCCUGAUCCAGCCAUGCCGCGUGUGUGAAGAAGGUCUUCGGAUUGUAAAGCACUUUAAGUUGGGAGGCGUUACCAACAGAAUAAGCACCGGCUAACUUCGUGCCAGCAGCCGCGGUAAUAC